UACGUAGGGUGCAAGCGUUAAUCGGAAUUACUGGGCGUAAAGCGUGCGUAGACGGUAGCGUAAGUCAGAUGUGAAAGCCCCGGGCUCAACCUGGGAAUUGCAUUUGAGACUGCGUAGCUAGGGUGCGGAAGAGGGAAGCGGAAUUUCCGGUGUAGCGGUGAAAUGCGUAGAUAUCGGAAGGAACACCAGUGGCGAAAGCGGCUUCCUGGUCCAGCACCGACGUUCAGGCACGAAAGCGUGGGGAGCAAACAGG
rnacentral:rRNA from 1 species